CAGCCGCCACGGUAAUACGUAGGUGGCAAGCGUUGUCCGGAAUUAUUGGGCGUAAAGGGCUCGCAGGCGGUUUCUUAAGUCUGAUGUGAAAGCCCCCGGCUCAACCGGGGAGGGUCAUUGGAAACUGGGAAACUUGAGUGCAGAAGAGGAGAGUGGAAUUCCACGUGUAGCGGUGAAAUGCGUAGAGAUGUGGAGGAACACCAGUGGCGAAGGCGACUCUCUGGUCUGUAACUGACACUGAGGAGCGAAAGCGUGGGGAGCGAACAGGAUUAGAUACCCCCGUAGUCCCUGUCUCUUAUAC
rnacentral:rRNA from 1 species